rnacentral:rRNA from 1 species
UACGUAGGGGGCGAGCGUUAUCCGGAUUUACUGGGUGUAAAGGGAGCGUAGACGGUUCUGCAAGUCUGAAGUGAAAGCCCGUGGCUUAACCGCGGAACGGCUUUGGAAACUGUGGAACUGGAGUGCUGGAGAGGCAAGCGGAAUUCCUAGUGUAGCGGUGAAAUGCGUAGAUAUUAGGAGGAACACCAGUGGCGAAGGCGGCUUGCUGGACAGUAACUGACGUUGAGGCU